rnacentral:ncRNA from 2 species
CUAUCUUUGCCCCGAAUUGGUUGCGGAUAGACAUUUCGACUAUUCGGAUUAAAAGGGAAUCGGGUGAAAAUCCCGGACAGUCCCGCUGCUGUGAAACUCUGCUAAUAUCUUGAAAACAGACCUUUGCCACUGGUUCUUUUUAUAGAACCGGGAAGGCUUCAAGAUAAGGAGUCAGUCAGAAGACCUGCCAUUCAUCAAAGGCUGUU